rnacentral:rRNA from 1 species
AUUGAACGCUGGCGGCAUGCCUUACACAUGCAAGUCGAACGGCAGCACGGGUGCUCGCACCUGGUGGCGAGUGGCGAACGGGUGAGUAAUACAUCGGAACGUACCUUAUCGUGGGGGAUAACGCAGCGAAAGCUGUGCUAAUACCGCAUACGCCCUGAGGGGGAAAGCGGGGGAUCGCAAGACCCCGCGCGAUUAGAGCGGCCGAUGCCUGAUUAGCUUGUUGGUGGGGUAAAAGCCCACCAAGGCGACGAUCAGUAGCUGGUCUGAGAGGACGAUCAGCCACACUGGGACUGAGACACGGCCCAGACUCCUACGGGAGGCAGCAGUGGGGAAUUUUGGACAAUGGGGGCAACCCUGAUCCAGCAAUGCCGCGUGAGUGAAGAAGGCCUUCGGGUUGUAAAGCUCUUUUGUCAGGGAAGAAACACCGGCUCUAACACAGUCCGGGAAUGACGGUACCUGAAGAAUAAGCACCGGCUAACUACGUGCCAGCCGCCGCGGUAA